rnacentral:misc_RNA from 1 species
AGCGCUUGUGGUCUGUCGUCUCUCUGCACAUCCACGUGGAUCUAUUCUUGCUGCCGUCCUCUUCGUGUGCAACCCCAUCCCCUCCCCUCUCCACGGAAAGCUCACCACAGCGCAAGACGAGUACGUGCAGCUCUGGUAGAGUGCCGCCGCUGUUCUAAGCUGAGCACCACGACCCUUGACAUACAAGAGGGGGUGGGGCACGUAACCCAGAUUUUCUUAUCACUCCGAGAGAAGAGGCGGUGAUACAGCACCAACCAACGGUAGUCGUUCACAUGGCGGCGGUGGUGGACGCAAGCGGCACUGUGGAGGGGGAGCUGCGACAGGCGAAGAACACACUGAAAACGCUGAGCACGCUUGCCGAGCAAGCCGAGCGCGGCGCCAUGGUGGACUAUGACUUAGCCCAGAGACUCAUGCACGAGGUUUCCGACCGCGUGCGGCCUUUGGCGCAAGGCACCAUGAACAGCUUCGCCGGCACCACCGCCGUGUCCUCCAGCGGCGCCACGCUGCACGCUCGCGCCGGCGCCGGGUGCUCGCAAAACGUUACACCGCUACAACGACGACGCGCCGAGCAGGUGCUAUCGGAGGUGAAGCUAAUCGAAACGGCACUGCACCGCUACGCCAAGAAGGCGGAGCAGCAGGCCACCUACGUGUCUGAUCUGAAGUCGCUUGUCGGCAAUGGCGCCGGGGCGUACCGCCAAAACUACGAAGCGAUGGACCACCUGGAGCGCGAGAAAAAGAGCCUGCAGUACGCUCGGCAGCGCAUGCAGGCAAUGGAGUCGGAGAGCCGCGAUGUGCUGGCGGCCCUUCAAGAUCAAGGUCGCCGACUUGGCGGUGUAGGUAGCAAGCUUGGUAAUUUGCUGGAGACCCUGGGCGUGUCGAACAUGACAAUUCUGCAGAUUGUACGGCGGAACAAGGCGGAUGCGUGGCUGGUGUACGGCGGGAUCGCGCUGCUUCUGUUCUUCCUGUGGUACAUUUGGUAGUCGGCGCCUCUCCUCCUGCUCCCUCCACAAGAAAAGCGAACAGCUCGCAUGGGGUGACGCUCGGGUAGAAGAUCGGAGGAGGGCGAGUGCGAACACGCUCGAUACAUCCACCGCACAUCAUUGGCUUCUUGUUCGCGUGUGUGUGUGUGUGUGCGGAUGUGUGUGUGUGGGGGAGGGGGGAAGAGGGCAUCGUUUAAAUGUGUGUUCCUCCUGCGUUUGCUCCGAACUCUCGCCCCCUCCCCUCUUCCCCACCACCACGAACGCCCACCCUCCUCUGCGUCACAUUCGUUCCCUCUCUUCUUGCUG